rnacentral:rRNA from 1 species
AAGACCUUGCACUUUUGGAGCGGCCGAUGCCUGAUUAGCUUGUUGGUAAGGUAAAAGCUUACCAAGGCUUCGAUCAGUAGCUGGUCUGAGAGGACGGCCAGCCACACUGGGACUGAGACACGGCCCAGACUCCUACGGGAGGCAGCAGUGGGGAAUUUUGGACAAUGGGGGCAACCCUGAUCCAGCCAUGCCGCGUGAGUGAAGAAGGCCUUCGGGUUGUAAAGCUCUUUCAGCCGGAACGAAACGGUUACGGUUAACACCCGUGACUACUGACGGUACCGGAAGAAGAAGCACCGGCUAACUACGUGCCAGCAGCCGCGGUAAUACGUAGGGUGCGAGCGUUAAUCGGAAUUACUGGGCGUAAAGCGUGCGCAGGUGGUUUUGUAAGUCAGAUGUGAAAGCCCCGGGCUCAACCUGGGAACU